GACGAACGCUGGCGGCGUGCCUAAUACAUGCAAGUUGAGCGCUGAAGGUUGGUACUUGUACCGACUGGAUGAGCAGCGAACGGGUGAGUAACGCGUGGGGAAUCUGCCUUUGAGCGGGGGACAACAUUUGGAAACGAAUGCUAACACCGCAUAAAAACUUUAAACACAAGUUUUAAGUUUGAAAGAUGCAAUUGCAUCACUCAAAGAUGAUCCCGCGUUGUAUUAGCUAGUUGGUGAGGUAAAGGCUCACCAAGGCGAUGAUACAUAGCCGACCUGAGAGGGUGAUCGGCCACAUUGGGACUGAGACACGGCCCAAACUCCUACGGGAGGCAGCAGUAGGGAAUCUUCGGCAAUGGACGAAAGUCUGACCGAGCAACGCCGCGUGAGUGAAGAAGGUUGUCGGAUCGUAAAACUCUGUUGGUAGAGAAGAACGUUGGUGAGAGUGGAAAGCUCAUCAAGUGACGGUAACUACCCAGAAAGGGACGGCUAACUACGUG
rnacentral:rRNA from 1 species